GUUUGUGGAAACACCACGUAAAUUUAUUACUGUAAAUUUAUUAUUUAUUAUUUAUUCAUUAUUAGCACUGAUGAAGAUCCGGGCUUACGGAUCGAAAGCUUUGCAGUAAUAAAUUUACGUGGUGUUUCCACAAACAAAAACAA
rnacentral:miRNA from 1 species